rnacentral:lncRNA from 1 species
CGGCCCAAAUCGUUCCCAAUACCGACCCAUCUCAAACAAAUACACAGACGGAUAGAUAUAGAGAGCCGAAACGCAAAAUCCCUAGAUCCCUAACGAACACUAUUCAAUCAUCUUUCUCACUCGAACCAAGCCCAAAUUCAGUCCAAAUUCAGGUGAGUGAAUCUCAAAUCCUUAACCUAGGCGUCCCUCCUUCUCUCAUCUUGUCGUUGCUAAUGGUUUCUGAUGACAAGAUUCCCUUCUCCUCUCACUCGCUCGAAUUUGUGUUAUAUCUCACGAUUGGAAGGUUCUGAGGACGAUAUGCUGGAUGAGUAUGAGGCGUUGGAUUAAUUUCACUCAAUUCGAGGCCAACAUUCAUCAAGGAUUCGUCUUCACAAGGAGACUUAUGUGAUUUUGAGAGGAGGACUCUGGUAAAAAACUUUGAGAGAAAAGUUGAAAGGUUUUUUUCUUUAACUUCUAAUUUUUGUCCUCUGAAUACUUUUGUUGGAAGAGUUUGUCUCAAAGGUUCAGAAAAACACAUAGAUUUUAAUUUCUGACUUUGGUUUUUGAGUGCAAAAAGAGAUACAAAUAAGUUUAGGUCAUUCGACUGGUGGUGAAAUUUAAGUUCGUCGACUUCAAUUUUCUACUAUUGUCUUGCUGAUCCACUACUGAACCUCACUAGGAUUUUUGGAAUCCGAAGGUGUAUUCGCUGCUUCUUCUAUAAUUGUUAUAAAAGAAGUUUGAAAGUUCAGGUUCAAUCUCUUUUUCUUUUGCAUUUCUAUUUUAUUUAAGUGUUCUUGAAUUGUAGAUUCCGUCCAAAAUGGUUUGUUUUGUUAUGUGAUCGAACUUCAUGAAGGAGUAGAGUUUGGGUUCAUCAUUUAAUCAUGAUUCCUAGUCAAAAUGAUUUUUGGUGCAUUAUUCUCGCUGAUGAGUCUCUUCUUGAUGGUGUGAUGUAUUUGAGUAUGUUCACUUAGUUGAAGUUGUUAUUGAGUGGUCGUUUUCUAUACUUAUAUUGUUUAACUGUUAUCAUGAUGUCGAGUUUUCGUUUGAGUCCAGAUCUCGUCGAUUUCAAAUAGUUGUUACAGUUUGUUUAGUCUGUCAGUGUGAAACUGCUCUUUUCUGUUAAAACUUGGAAGAUGAAUCAUAGGAUUGCUUGAUUUUGAACAUGAUAGUGUGAGUGUGAAACAUUGCAUUUGAGCUGGUAUUAGUUUCUGUCUAAAUAGGCUCUCACGAGGAAAAUGCUAGAGUCCUCUGUUUAUUAGUGAAGGUAUGCCGAAGUUUAUCUUCUUUGUUUAAUGGGUAUAAUGGGUUCAUCCUUCUUCUGUUUACUCCGUACCACUGCAUGAGGUAUGUCCGAGUGGGUAGUUCUGUCAUUUGUGCCAUUUUUGAGUUAUUUUGUAGAAAAACUGGCGUGGUUGUGUUAUUUUGGUUUAAAGGGAUGAUCAAUUUUUCUUUUGUGGAAUGUUGUUCAUUGUCUAUUUCCGAGCUGAUAGAUAGGAACUAAAAUUACGUGCUUGUUUAUGAGUUUCUUCUGUUGUAGGAAUCUGAAAAAACCACCUUCAUCACAUGUUAGGAGUGAGUUAAUGGUUGGCGCAUGCUGUGCCAACUGAUUUUCAGAAACUCAAAUGUGGAUUUCAAAAUAAGUAUCAUUACUGUUAGGAUCUCUUUCUUUAUUAAAAUGACUUGAAGCAUGUUUAGUAUGCAUUUGUGUUGAAUCAUUUCAUUUUUUAAAACUAUAAGGAUGGGAAUGGUCUUUGUUCUAACUGAUGGGCUGUGGUGCAUUUUGGAUCAGCCUGCCGUCUGAAGUUGUUGUCAGUGUUUUGAAAAGCGGUCGCUUCGUCGCUUAAAGCGCGAAGCUACGCGAAGCGACCCUCUAUCGCUUUUUGCAGGCUGAAGCGAGGCGACCUAGAGAAGCGAUCGCUUCCAUGGCAGAAGCGCAAACGCGCAGAAGCGAUCGAAGCGCAAAAGCGAUCGCUUAAUUGAAGAAAGCGCAUGCAGAGGUCUUUUUUAAAAAAAAAAACUUUGGGGUCUCAAAAAUACCUAUAUUAGUCCCAAACAGAGGUGGACCAGCCUCUCUUCUUCUUCUCCAGUUGCAGAAAAUUAGGGUUUCAUCCCAACCCAGGUAUUUUUUUCUUCUCCUUUCUUCUUGUUUUUUUCUUUUUUCUUCUUCUUCCAUCUUCUUCUUCAGUCGACGAGACCCAGUCGAUCUUCUUCUUCUUCUUAAUUUUUUUCUUCUUCUGUUCUUGAGUUCACGUUUUUUUUUUCUUCGUUCUGUUUCUUCUCUCCUUCUCUCUCUGUUUCUCGUUCAUAUCUGUUACGAACGAGGUGGAAGAUUGAUGUUUUGUUUUCCCUUUUGUUUUCUGUUAAGUAUAUAUAUAUAUCUAUUUAGUUUUAGUUAUUUUAACUUUAUAUAAUUACAUUAUAUUAUAACUUUAUAUAAUUAUGUUAUUACUUUAUAUAAUUUCAGUUAAUUAUUAUAACUUUAUAAUUUAUAUAAUUUCAGUUUAUUUUCAUAAUUUAUGUAAUUUCAGAUUAUUUUCAGUUAAUUAUUAUAAUUUAUAUAAUUUCAGUUAAUUAUUAUAAUUU